rnacentral:lncRNA from 1 species
GGACGCCGUUGGCCACGUCGGGCUCCUCAAAGCUUUCAAGAGUAGAAGAAACUUCCGGUUUCGGAGACCCUGCCGCCGGGUUACAGUCGACCCCAGUCUCGAGCGGAGGAGACUGCUGGAUUUCUAGUACGCAGUUUCCGCUUUCCUCGUACUCUACCUUUUUCGACAAGUUGAAGUGAAAGAGUGUAUGCUGGACACUGUUC